AGUCGAGUGACACUGCGCCGAAAAUGUACCGGGGCUAAACAUAUUACCGAAGCUGUGGAUUGUCCUUUGGACAAUGGUAGGAGAGCGUUCUAAGGGCGUUGAAGCAUGAUCGUAAGGACAUGUGGAGCGCUUAGAAGUGAGAAUGCCGGUGUGAGUAGCGAAAGACGGGUGAGAAUCCCGUCCACCGAUUGACUAAGGUUUCCAGAGGAAGGCUCGUCCGCUCUGGGUUAGUCGGGUCCUAAGCUGAGGCCGACAGGCGUAGGCGAUGGAUAACAGGUUGAUAUUCCUGUACCACCUAUAAUCGUUUUAAUCGAUGGGGGGACGCAGUAGGAUAGGCGAAGCGUGCGAUUGGAUUGCACGUCUAAGCAGUAAGGCUGAGUAUUAGGCAAAUCCGGUACUCGUUAAGGCUGAGCUGUGAUGGGGAGAAGACAUUGUGUCUUCGAGUCGUUGAUUUCACA
rnacentral:rRNA from 1 species